GACGAACGCUGGCGGCGUGCCUAAUACAUGCAAGUCGAGCGAUGAAGAUUGGUGCUUGCACCAAUUUGAAGAGCAGCGAACGGGUGAGUAACGCGUGGGGAAUCUGCCUUUGAGCGGGGGACAACAUUUGGAAACGAAUGCUAAUACCGCAUAACAACUUUAAACAUAAGUUUUAAGUGUGAAAGAUGCAAUUGCAUCACCCAAAGAUGAUCCCGCGUUGUAUUAGCUAGUUGGUGAGGUAAAGGCUCACCAAGGCGAUGAUACAUAGCCGACCUGAGAGGGGGGUCGGCCACCUUGGGAAUGGGGCACGGCCCCAACCCCUUCGGGAGGCAGCCGUAGGGGAUCUUCGGCAAUUGGCGGAAGUCUGGCCGGGCAACGCCGCGUGGGGGAAGGAGGUUCUCGGAUCGUAAAACCCUUUUGGUAGGGAAGAACGUUGGUGGGAGUUGACAGCUCAUCAAGUGACGGUAACUACCCAGAAAGGGACGGCUAACUACGUG
rnacentral:rRNA from 1 species